rnacentral:rRNA from 1 species
UUCGAGUGGCGACGGGUGAGUAACGCGUGGGUAACCUGCCUUACACAGGGGGAUAACACCUGGAAACAGGUGCUAAUACCGCAUAAGCGCACAGGGCCGCAUGGCCCGGUGUGAAAAACUCCGGUGGUGUAAGAUGGACCCGCGUCUGAUUAGCUUGUUGGCGGGGUAGAGGCCCACCAAGGCGACGAUCAGUAGCCGGCCUGAGAGGGUGGACGGCCACAUUGGGACUGAGACACGGCCCAAACUCCUACGGAAGGCAGCAG